UGCCUGUGAUGAGUUGCCAUGCUAAUACUGACACUGCAGCCGGGAGCAGGUGGCUUCUGCGCUCGCAGUGACUGAGUGUAAAUGACUUAACUGAGGCGG